CAAAUCAAGCAUGUAGAUUCAAUAAAGUAAUGAGGAUUUUCUAAUAUUUUCUAAGUUAUGAUGCUUUGCAUUCAUCGAUUUUAAAUGCAAACUGAGAGAGCUUUCCUCAAGCAGCCAGAGGUUUUCCUUUGGUAAGAAGCUUUUCUUUCCUCUUGCCCUCUAUAUACAAUCUAUAUUAUAAUAGUAAAACAAACAACAAGUUAUGAGGCGGAAUCCUCGAGGGUUACCAUAUAAAAAUUUGAUAUGUGGUUUAUUUAGUCUAAGGGUCUUUCUUUUGUCUAAGGGUGUUGUUUCCUUUUUUUCUUAUACCUGGACUUAGUCUUGCUUCCUCACCUUAUGUAGUAGCGGUUCUAUAGUGACUUCCAAUUUUAUUAUUUUCUUU
rnacentral:lncRNA from 1 species